AUAAAUCUUUGCAGGGGAGAUACCAUGAUCACGAAGGUGAUUGUCCCAGGGCGAGGCUUAUCCACUGCAUUCCGGAUGCGCUGAGCCCAGCGAUUUCCCCAAAUAUGGGAAACGACUGCAUAAUUUGUGCCAGAGGGGAACUGUAUGUGCUCUUCUCCA
rnacentral:snRNA from 1 species